AAUGGCUCAUUAAAUCAGUUAUCGUUUAUUUGAUGGUACCUUACUACUUGGAUAACCGUGGUAAUUCUAGAGCUAAUACAUGCUAAAAACCCCGACUUCGGGAGGGGUGUAUUUAUUAGAUAAAAAACCAACGCCCUUCGGGGCUUCUUGGUGAUUCAUGAUAACUUAACGAAUCGCAUGGCCUUGCGCCGGCGAUGGUUCAUUCAAAUUUCUGCCCUAUCAACUUUCGAUGGUAGGAUAGUGGCCUACCAUGGUAUCAACGGGUAACGGGGAAUUAGGGUUCUAUUCCGGAGAGGGAGCCUGAGAAACGGCUACCACAUCCAAGGAAGGCAGCAGGCGCGCAAAUUACCCAAUCCCGACACGGGGAGGUAGUGACAAUAAAUACUGAUACAGGGCUCUUUUGGGUCUUGUAAUUGGAAUGAGUACAAUUUAAAUCCCUUAACGAGGAACAAUUGGAGGGCAAGUCUGGUGCCAGCAGCCGCGGUAAUUCCAGCUCCAAUAGCGUAUAUUAAAGUUGUUGCAGUUAAAAAGCUCGUAGUUGAACCUUGGGCCUGGCUGGCCGGUCCGCCUCACCGCGUGCACUGGUCCGGCCGGGCCUUUCCUUCUGGGGAGCCGCAUGCCCUUCACUGGGUGUGUCGGGGAACCAGGACUUUUACUUUGAAAAAAUUAGAGUGUUCAAAGCAGGCCUUUGCUCGGAUACAUUAGCAUGGAAUAAUAGAAUAGGACGUGCGGUCCUAUUUUGUUGGUUUCUAGGACCGCCGUAAUGAUUAAUAGGGAUAGUCGGGGGCAUCAGUAUUCAAUUGUCAGAGGUGAAAUUCUUGGAUUUAUUGAAGACUAACUACUGCGAAAGCAUUUGCCAAGGAUGUUUUCAUUAAUCAGUGAACGAAAGUUAGGGGAUCGAAGACGAUCAGAUACCGUCGUAGUCUUAACCGUAAACUAUGCCGACUAGGGAUCGGGCGAUGUUAUCAUUUUGACUCGCUCGGCACCUUACGAGAA
rnacentral:rRNA from 1 species